rnacentral:lncRNA from 1 species
AGUCUGGAGAGAUUAUGGUUUUCUUAUGGAUUUCUUGCUUGAGCCUGCUUAUCUUAUACUUCAUACUUGCCUGCACUUUCUUAUGUGUUAUUUUUCAUUCUCAUGUGUUCUGUUUGCACACCUCAAAUUCCAGAAUGAUACUUGUAACUUAAGUAGAUAGGAAUUUAAAAAGAUAGAGAUCCUGUUAAAGAAAAGGUUGGCUAAAGUUCACUUCACAUUUUAAAAGUAGCUAUGCUGCUGCCUCAGGUUGCUUAUUCUUUUCUUGAAAGACUCCCUCAAGGGAGAACCAAGUGAGGCCACAUGAGUGUAGAAGGUGAUUCAGAGAAAUUGACAUUCCUGUGAGAUAUCACUCAUCUUUUAAAAACUGGUUUGUACUAAUAUUGACUAGGAAGAGGAGGAGAAGAAGAACUUUUUCACUCUUUCAGUUCUCCCAUUUGCAGAGCAGAGAUUUAAAUCAUUGCCCACACUAGUGCCAUAAAUUUAGAUGUCUAAAAUUUUGAUUAGAAUUUGAUUGAUGGUUAAAGUUGAUAGGGACUUACCCUUCCUUGUGUUUAAAAGUAAUACUCUUUCCCCUUUUCCUUGGCUCUUAAGUACUAAGAGUGAGAUAGAAAAAAAAGAGGGAACUGGGGAUAAGUAUUGAAAGUUUCAUAGCUUCAUCUCAUAUUACUGUUUUCACUUUAUAAUGGACCAUCUGUGGCACACACAUCUACUAGGUAGGGAUUGCUCCUCAAUUAUGUCAUUUCAUCUUGUCAGGUUUUAAAGCUUGUUUCAGGCAGUGGUUAUUGACAGAUCAAAGUGAGCAGAGAGCCGAAACUAAUAAGCUGUUGUGUAAUUUUUUUCUGGCACCUGAGUUAGAUUAGAACUAUUAGUUUUCUUUAUUUGAGAACUUCUCAGAAUUUUAAUAUAUAUCUAAGUGAUAGUUGAGGAGGAAAAUAAAAUAGGAAACUUUUCCCAAAUAGGUGUACUGCCCCCCCCCCCGAAAAAAUGAAAACAAGGUAUGCUCAGAAUAUAGUUUAUGAAAUGCUGUCUUAAACCUCUUCACUCUUAGUUAGGGAGACACAUCUGCCAGUAGAAAAGAUGAACCUUUGCAUUUUGUUCUGAAUAUGGGAUAAAGAUCCUAGGACCUAGACAUGGAUCUAAGCAGCACUAAGCCUACAUUUAGCAUUUGUAAGAGAUAUGUGUUGUGUGUCUAAGUUAUCAGAACUUAGCCUGUUUCUUAGGUAUACUUCAAAAUUAUGUUGUUUUUGAAGUGGCAGUUACUUUCAGAUACAUGUGCUUCUUAAGCAUGUUGGCUGCAUGCAUAAUAGAUUUUGCUUAAGCACUGAGCUUGAGAAUGGCAGCUUUAAAUGUCUUAAAGAGCAUUAAAAAAUAACAAGGAUCUCUAUUAGUUUUGUUUUAUUUAACUUAACAGAAAUUAAUGUAAUUAAGUAUUAUUAAGAGACAGUGUGAUUCCUGUUGGCUUGUAACCCUAGUUUUUAUUGUUUUAUAGUUAUUAAAUAGAGCCUCUCUGUGGGGCUCUUUUAAAACCACAGCCAAGAACAGACUUUGGGUCUAAAAGGCAGAGCAGCAUGCAGCAGUGGACCUACCUCUGGCAGCUAGCAGAGGCCUGUGCAGCUACAGCCCCUUCUGGAGUCUUUAUUGCAUGUAAAAUGCAGAGGAGUCCUGGUGACCUACCUCCAAGGCAGCUGCCCUCCUGAACAUUUCCUGGGAAAGCAGUAAUCAUCAUAAUGGAAUGUGAACAACCAGAACCUACACAGGAAAAGAAAGGUCUGGAAGAGAUGGAAGUCUCAGGUGGCUUCACUGUUCAGUUUUUUAAUAAAACAAUAUGGAACAUGUUAAUUUUUUUUUUUUUCUGUUUGAAUACUUUUCUGUUGAAAUGAUUUUUUUUUUUUUUCCCAAACUGGUCAGGAUUUGAAAUUUGUGUUUUGUUUCAUUGACAGCACAGAUUUUAUUCACAAUUCCGUUGCCUCUGCUGAGUGCCUUCUCGUCCUCUAUUUAACCUGAGGAAUGCAGAAUCUAUUGUAGGGAGAAAAUAAGGUUUCAGGAUCUCUUAAGAUGCACAGAUGUAGCUGGUUGUGAUGGCCCAUGCCUGUAGUCCCAGUGGCUCAGGAGGCCGAAGCAGGAGGAUUGGGAGUUUAAAGCCAGCCUCAGCAAUGGCAAGGCACUAAGCAACUCAGUGAGACCCUGUCUCUAAAUGAAAUACAAAGUAGGGCUGGAGAUGUGGCUCAGUUGUCAAUUUUCCAUGAAUUAAAUCCUCAGUACCCGCCCCGCCACCCCACCCCCCCAACAAAAAAGAUGCAUAGAUAUAAGUUAUUGAAGGGAAGGUAGUUUUUUGGAGGACAUAUUUAAAGGAGGAGAAAAAGAGAUUGUCUCAGACAAGCCAUGCUAUUGAAGAAUGUCCUGUAGACUGUAUGUAGAACUGCAGUAAGUAUCUCUGGCCAGAACUAAGAAAAUGUGUUUAGUUAAUAGCUUUUUUUUUUUUUUUUGCCUUUUCACACUUACUCCCUACCCGACCCUUUUUGAUUAGAUGCCUGCUUUGUACUAAGAACUUGACAUAGUAUAAUUUUUUAAAAAAAUAUAUAGAUAGUACUAAUUUUGUUUUACGGAUAGGAAAAAGUAGUCAUGUAGUACUUAAGCUCACACAGCUUCCAACUGUAAAAUGCUAGAGCUAAUCUUUCAAGCCUAAGGAUACCCCUAGAACUAAAAAUUAAAAGAAAAACCAUUUCACAAUAGAGUAAAUAAUACUUAGAGUCACAUUUGGGUAGAUUUUCUGAUGGAUUCCAGCAUGUAAGCAUCAUGAAUGUUAGUUGAAUGGAGUAGAAUAGCUGCAUUGGCUUUUGUUGGAGUCUUUAAGAGCAAUUCCCUUUGAGAUUUAGCAUUCCUUCCCCUGAGCUGCUAGCUUUCUCGCCCAAGCUAGACUUAGGGACAAAAUCUUAACCUUAUUUUUCUUUUGUACCUUCAAAAGUUGAAAAGAGAGCUUUUAAACUUCAAAUUAAAUACAAAUAAAAUCCCUUGCCAAAUAGACUUCUCUUAAUUACACUAUUGUUCAUACUGAUUGUUAACUUUUAGCUGUUUCCUGCUAAACAGUAUACUCAUUUCCUCCUCAUUUGGUUUAGAGCCCAUUUGAUCUAAAAUGUGGGGCUACACCUAAAAUGUGGGGCUACACCUAAUCUGUAGUAUCUAGAAAGACUUUUCCCCUACAUUUUGUCUUAGAUAGAUAAAAAUCUCCCUAGAUAGUAGUUUUUCAAUAAUGAUGACAAUUUUAUACUGUUGGAGAGGAACUGGUCUGCUAUAACAGUAUAGCUAACUGUAUCUAUCAGACAUUCUUUUCUAUCCUGCCUUUGGACCUGAUCAGUGCUUUAUCACUGAGGACCUGAUGCCACCUCCCCAGCUAUCUCCAUUAACAGGAGAAGCUCUGUUACCUUGGUCCCCAUUGUACUUUGCAGAUUUCUCUCAUCUCAUACCUAUUAUAGCAGAAUAUUUUGAUAGAAUGUCUUCAUCGUCUUCUGGGCUGAAAGUCUGUAUUUAACCUUCAAUAUUUUCAGCACCUAAUGCACACAGAACUUCAUAGAUUCUUGAAAAUAAACCACAUUUCCUUUUUCUUUUUGCAGACUUUUUACGAGUAAUACCAGCUUACAAAGAAUCAGUUCUCUUGAAUCCUAGAACAUAUUUGGGAAUGGUGCUAUAACUUUUUUAGUACUCUGCUCUAAAAAACAUUUUCAGGUUGCCUACCUCCAAAGAUCUAAAAGUUGUAUAUUUUCAAUUUGAUGUACAUAUUGUAGAAUGUAUUUAAUGUGAAAUUUUAAAAAAUUAUUAAAUGUUUCUGUUUAUUUCUCUGAGUAAUUUAGCUUAUAAAUGGAUUAUGAAAAAGAAGAAUUAGUGACAACAAAUUUGUAGAUAUGUGUUACAAUGUAAUAAUGCUUAGCUUUCUCUGUCAUAAUUGUCUGCUUUGUCUUCUGGUCUUAAAGUCCAUUAUGCAAGGAUCAACUCUGUAUUACUAACCAUUUUAUUCUCCAUGUAUAGUGCAAUAUGUGAAAAUAACAGGCCUUCAAUAAAUUUAGAAAAAAAAUUGAGCAAUACAUCCUGGUGUU